UACGGGGGGGGCAAGCGUUGUUCGGAAUUACUGGGCGUAAAGGGUUCGUAGGUGGCUUGCUAAGUCAGACGUGAAAUCCCUCAGCUUAACUGGGGAACUGCGUCUGAGACUGGUGAGCUUGAGUGCAGGAGAGGAACGCGGAAUUCCAGGUGUAGCGGUGAAAUGCGUAGAUAUCUGGAGGAACACCGGUGGCGAAGGCGGCAUCCUGGACCGGUAUUGACGCUGAGGCGCGAAAGCCAGGGGAGCAACGGG
rnacentral:rRNA from 1 species